rnacentral:lncRNA from 1 species
AAAUAUAUCUCUGGACCCUUGUUUUUUUGGCUAUCUUGUGCCUUUGCUGUUUGUUCUCUUGCAUUCUUAGUGGAUAUAUGGUGCACUUACUGUAAGGAAAAUUAACUUAUUAAUUGAAACUCUUUAUUUUUCGUCCUUGUUUCAUUUCUUGGAAUUCUGAUUGUUAAGCAUGGUUGUGGGAGGAAGUAAACAAGUAAUUUUGAAUUGAAUAUAAAGUACAAGGUUCUGCUGAAAAUUAAUAUAAAAUAUUUACUGAGAAUGGGUAAUUAAUGAAACCAAAUCUUAGAAAUGCAAGCAUAUGUAAUCAAUCUUAUCAGUCUUCAUUCUCCUAAACAAGAUGCUCCAUGGCAGUCCAUGCACAGAGUUAUUGAACUGGUUCACAUUGAAAUGUGUAUCCCGCGUGUUCGUGUUAGUUCAAAAAAGAUUUCACGUUGACUUUAUAUCAUGCAGAGUCUGUAAAUCUUGAAAUUACCAUGUCUGAUACUUUCUUUUUAGGACAAUUAUCUGAUAAUUAAUACCAGUUCUCGUUCAACACUUUCAUUUUGUGCAGGAGUGCAUCAAGAAGUGGGUUGACACGCAGCACACAAUGAUAAAUAGUCCAAUUGCAGCAAUGUAAACCCGUGGGUCCGUUCUUCCUCACCAUUUUAUAUAAUUUAUCCCAUUUUUGUACAAUUGUAACAAGCAUGCCAAUGGCUCUUCCCUUGUAAAUCAGCAAGAAACCGUGGAUAUCGAAGCCGAGCUAACCUUUUGGCAAAAUUAUCGAGUGGAAGUUGUGACACUAUAGGUCGCUCGUUAGCAUGUCCUCCUCUUGUUUGCAGUCUAUAUUUGUAAUCUGCAGUUACAAUGAUUGUUAUUAUUGAGGUUUGUCGAUAGUUUUGUAAUCAGAUUAUUUUCAAUCAAGUCCUUGUUUAUCUGUGGUUAAUUCGACUCCGAUUCGAAACUGUUCACCGUUAAAACUUAAAAGUAGCUUGCUUUUGAAGAUAUUAGGAGUUAAAUUUAGAUAUUUGUCUGGUUGAAGCCUGAAGGAAUGUAUUUCUUGGUUUCAAUUCUGGUUCUCUGCACGUGACGGAUAAACUCGAGGCCUUGUCCUUUCGAUAUGCACUGUGUGUGUGUAGUGGAGAAGGGACCCUGAAGGGU